rnacentral:rRNA from 1 species
AACGAACGCUGGCGGCAUGCCUAACACAUGCAAGUCGAACGAGACCUUCGGGUCUAGUGGCGCACGGGUGCGUAACGCGUGGGAACCUGCCUUUAGGUUCGGAAUAACUCAGAGAAAUUUGAGCUAAUACCGGAUAAUGUCUUCGGACCAAAGAUUUAUCGCCUUUAGAUGGGCACGCGUUGGAUUAGCUAGUUGGUGGGGUAAAGGCCUACCAAGGCGACGAUACAUAGCUGGUCUGAGAGGAUGAUCAGCCACACUGGGACGGGGACACGGUCCAGACUCCUACGGGAGGCAGCAGUGGGGAAUAUUGGACAAUGGGCGAAAGCCUGAUCCAGCAAUGCCGCGUGAGUGAUGAAGGCCUUAGGGUUGUAAAGCUCUUUUACCCGAGAUGAUAAUGACAGUAUCGGGAGAAUAAGCUCCGGCUAACUCCGUGCCAGCCGCCGCGGUAA